rnacentral:rRNA from 1 species
UACCAGCACCCCGAGUGGUCGGGACGAUUAUUGGGCCUAAAGCAUCCGUAGCCGGUCCUGCAAGUCUUCCGUUAAAUCCAGCUGCUCAACAGAUGGGCUGCGGGGGAUACUACAGGGCUAGGAGGCGGGAGAGGCAAGCGGUACUUUAUGGGUAGGGGUAAAAUCCGUUGAUCCAUAGAAGACCACCAGUGGCGAAGGCGGCUUGCCAGAACGCGCUCGACGGUGAGGGAUGGAAAGCUGGGGGGAGCAAACCGG